AGCGAACGCUGGCGGCAUGCCUAACACAUGCAAGUCGCACGGGGGGGCUUCGGCCUCCCAGUGGCGGACGGGUGAGGAACGGGUAGGGACAUGUCGAGGGGUGGGGGAUAACCGCGGGAAACUGCGGCUAAUACCGCAUGACGCCGCGGCGUCACAGCCGGGGCCAAAGGCGAAAGCCGCCCUCCGUGGGGCGUGCGUCCGAUUUGAAGGUUGGCGGGGUAGCGGCGCACGAAGGGGUGGAUCGGUAGAUGGGCUGAGAGGGUGGUCAGCCACACCGGGGCGGGGACACGGCCCGGACUCUUGCGGGAGGGAGCAGUGGGGAAUAUAGGAAAACGGGGUCAGGCCUGAACGAGUAAGGCCGCGUGAGUGAAGAAGGUCGGCAAGAUGUAAAGCCCUUUCGGCGGGGACGGUGGUGACGGUACCCGCAGAAGAAGCCCCGGCUAACUUCGUG
rnacentral:rRNA from 1 species